AUAGGUUUGGUACUUUAUGUUUCGGGCGUGUUUGGUGAUGUUGUACAUAUGUGUACUUCACCACUAGUGGCUUUGGUUGUUGUGUCGGCAUUUAAUUUUAUGGAUGAUGAUUUUAGUUGGCUUAGAAUAGGUGCUUUGAUAGGAACAGGUUUGGCUUUAGGAUCGUACUUCUACUCUCUGCACAAGAAAAACAAGAAGGAGAGGAAUGAACUUAAUCAAAGAGAGAACAAUGUUGAAGUUUAGUCUCUCAUGUCAAAUGUAUGUGGUGUCUUUUUUCAAAAUAUUUUCCUGUUCGGCUAAUUAAUCGUGUAAGUUAAUGUCCAAAUAUGUUGUAUCGAUCUGAAAGCUGUGUAAUUUAUUUGUUAAUUGUUUUAGUUGGAUUUCUUUGUUUCGUAUAUUACUAUUUUACAAUGCUUUGUUUAAGACUACAAUAUUGUGUACUAAAAAACUACAAUAUGUUAACACUCUUGAUCUAAACUCCAAACAUAUUCUAUAUAUUUCUUUAUUUUGAACAAGAUCUAUAAUGUUUGUGCUUUUAAAAUUCAAGAUUUUACUUUCUUACAAGUUUGUACAGAAAUUAUUUUAGUCCACUGAUCAGAAAGAUUAAGUAGGUGGAUUAGCUGACAACUUUAUCUAUAACCAUUAGUAAGAUGUAUGUAAUAUAAAAUUCAUUAAUCAAAAUUGAUAGUCUAAUUUAAAUAAAUAAAAAUUUAUAACCAAAUUAUGCAUAUAUAUAUUCUAAUCCGUGUUAAUAUAUAUAAAUACGUAUAUAAUAUCAUGUUCUAUUCAAUCCACAAUCUAUGUUGUGAAAUUCGGAAAUGGGGUGAACGUUUUGAAGAAGCACAAUUUCGCUAUGUAUCUCGUCAAUGUAAUGAGCCUGCUCAUCUUUUGGCCACAUCUCUUUCUAGUGAUACUUUGUUCUAUUCAAGUUGUAUAAAACCACCUCUGUGGUUAUCAUCUUCCCUUUAUAAGAACUAUGUAAACUCUUCUAUUUCUACUUAAUAUAAUUUCUUGUUUCGUCGAAAAAAAAAAUGUAUAUAAUAUCAUAUCACUUUCACAACUAAAAUUUUAUUUAUAUGUUAACCUGCACAAUAAAACUAACUCAAAUUUUUUAUGACGAUUAUAUAUAUAUAUACAUAAAUUUUGGGUGUAUGAUGUCAAUAUAUAAAUAGUUGCUAAAUAAUUUUAACUCAGCCAAAAGUUUAUUUUAAAAAAAAAUUCGUAAAGAAUCUAAAAAAAUAAUAAAUUAUAAUAAGAUUAGAAAAUAGAAAGUAGAAGUAUUAUUGUUAUCAAAAGAGGUUAUUGGGAAGAAGAUUUAUGUAAAAUUUGUGGAUUUAAAAAAUCUAGAGAUUUUAAGAAUCUCAAAGAUUUCUGUGGAUUAUAAAAAUUUACCAAUAUUUUUAGUGAUUUUGUAAUAACUUUUGUAGAUUGUCGUAGAUUUUCAAUGCAAACAAUAAACAAAUUAAUUUUAAAGAAAGUGAAACAAAUUGAAUCACAACAACUAGAGAGUUUACUAAUAAUUAGAGAGACAUAAUAACUUCUAAUAUGUGGCAAGAUGCAAUAUCAACUGGAAGUCAAUGAUGAUGAUGAAGUAUAUCAGUUUCUUGAUUUUGAGACACAUGUGCUUGUAGCUGAUAGAAUUGAAAUAUGUGUGUUAUGCAGGUCUUUUGAUGGAUAAAUUGCUUGUUAUCUCAUGGAAAAGAUAAAGCUAUAGACAAAUUUUUGGAAUUUUGUAACAUCUCUAUCCCGAAUUCUCUAAAAAGACCGAAAAAUCGGGUAUGUUUUGUUGGUAGUCAAACCUCAUUCGGUAAAGCAUCAGGUUUUCUCAUGGAUUUGAUAGCCGGCCCGUCUGGUUUUCGGAAGGGAAGAAGGAGCGGAAUCUCACAUUUUUAUUUAUAUGUUGCUGAGAUUUUGUCUUGUUAAACAUGUUGUUGUGGUAUUGUUUAUUAUGGAUUUGUUUUUGGUUUGUUUUUUUGGGAUAACUGAUGGUGAUGAAUAGAUAAUAUAUAUUGGAGAAAGAUUUUAAGAAUACACAGGGUACCUCUAGAAUAUUGAAAGUCAUUGCUAAUGACUAAAAAUAUAAAGAAUCAUUGUUUUAAUAACACUAUAGUUUAAUAGAAUUGAAAAAUCAAUAAAUACUUAACUCUUUUAAUAACACAAAUUUUUUAAAAAAUUUAUAUAAUCAACACACCAAUAACAUAAGAUUUCCAAAAUCAUUAUACCAAUAACAGAAGAUUUUAAUAAAAAUAUAAUAAUCUACAAACUAAUAACAAUAUAAUUUUAAACUCUAAAAAUUUUUAAAAAUUUAUCUUCCAAUAACAUCCACCAAGUAUCUAAGAUAUUGGGCCUAAUUGGGCUAAUCGAACCAGAGGUUCUUGGCCGUGGUAUGCGUAAGAAAACACAAUCUGUGAGGCUCGCUGAUCAUGUUCUCACUCUCCUACAUAACCUUUAUCCUACCGCGACACCAUAUCCUAUAGAUAACUACUUGUCUAGUGCCCAAUUUUUGGAUUCAUACCAGUCCUUCAUCUACGCCAUAACUGCAGGUUCAGAACCGAAAAGUUACAAAGUUGCAUUUGAAGAUGAGAAGUGGCGUUUUGCUGCCGAGGAUGAAAUGGUUGCAUUAGAGGAACUUGGAACCUGGACUAUCGAAGAUUUGCCUCCAGGGAAAAAGGCUCUCGGUUGUAAGUGGAUUUUUAAGUUGAAAUUCAACUCAGAUGGUACACUUGAGCGGCAUAAAGCCAGGCUUGUAGUCCUCGGAAACAACCAAACAGAGGGUGUCGAUUACAACGAAAUAUUUGCUCAUGUAGCAAAGAUGGUUACAGUUCGAACGUUUCUUCAACAAGUUGCGUCAAAUGAUUGGGAAGUGCAUCAGAUGGAUGUUCAUAAGGCCUUCCUUCAUGGCGAUUUAGACGAAGAAUUUUAUAUGAAAUUUCCACCUGGUUUUCAGUCCAAUGAACCCAAAAAAGUUUGUUGUCUUCACAAGGCUCUUUACGGUUUGAAGCAAGCUCCCAGAUGCUGGUUUGUGAAGCUUGCUACAGCUCUCAAGGAGUACGGUUAUGAGCAAAAUGGAUCGGAAUAUUCUUUGUUCAUUUAUGAAAAUGAGGAUAUUCUUCUUCACGUACUUGUGUACGUCGAUGAUCUCAUCAUCACGGGUAACUCUGCUUCUCUUGUUUCGGUUUUCAAGGAAUAUCUCAGUGACUGUUUUUGCAUGAAAGAUUUAGGACUUCUUCGGUAUUUCUUGGGUAUCGAAGUAGCUCACAGCUCGGAAGGAAUCUAUCUCUGUCAACGCAAAUACACGCUUGAUAUUCUCACAGAGACUGGCUUACUUGGCUCCAAACUGGUUGUGUUUCCAUUGGAACAGAACCAUAAACUGGCGUUGGCUAAAGGUGCUUCCAUGACUGAACUGUAUCUUUAUCGACGCUUGGUUGGAAAGCUCAUUUAUUUGGGAGUUACAAGACCGGAAUUGUCUUAUGUCAUUCAUGUUCUUUCAUAGUUCAUGUAUGCUCCUAAACAGGCUCAUUGGGAUACAGUUCUUCGCGUCGUCAAGUAUCUCAAAAACAGUCCAGGACAGGGGAUUCUUCUUCGUGCAAACACACCGUUAACAUUGACGGCUUGGUGCGACUCGGACUGGGCAUCUUGUCCGCUCACUCGUCGCUCACUCACAGGAUGGUUUAUACAACUUGGGGGUUCACCAUUGUCUUGGAAGACUCGCAAACAUGAUGUUGUCUCUCGCUCCUCGGCUGAAGCCGAAUAUCGAGCUAUGGCGGAUACAGUGUCUGAGAUACUUUGGUUACGUGAACUACUUCCUACUCUAGGUAUGGACUGCUCGGCUCCAACGAUGUUGUAUUCUGAUAGUCUUUCUGCGAUCAAGCUUGCUAAGAAUCUUGUGUAUCAUGCUCGCACAAAGCAUGUUGAACUUGAUUGUCACUUUAUUCGCGAUGAGAUUAUAUGAGAUACGAUCUCCCCUGGCACAUGUGUCUACUACUUCCCAAUUGGCUGAUAUUAUGACAAAAAUUUUAGGAAGAAAAGAGUUUGAAGCAUUUCUUUGCAAGCUGGGUGUUCGUAACCUCCACACGCCACCUUAAAGGGGGAGAGGGGGUAUUAGGCCUAAUUGGGCUUACAUAAUUAGGCUUAGGUUUUUGUAUGUACAUCACACAUACUUGUAUAAAAGGCAUUGCCUCAACAAUUUGAUCAAUAAGAAAUCUCUUUACCACAUUCACGAUUUCUUGACAUAAGACUUCGAUUGAUCUGCUACCGGGCUUUUGUCUGAAACAUAUCCAUGUAAGCGUGUUCGACGUGGCUUUUGGACCGACUGUUUGAUAAGGAACAAGAGGCCGUAGAUAAUUCAUACUACACAAGUCUUGCCGUCGACUCUUUAUAAGGUAGGAACGAGCCGUCUAAAGUUACUAUUUCGUUUAAAAGUCUUCUUCAAUCUUCGUAGUCCUAAUUUAGUAGUUUACUGGGUUAUUAGAUAUCAGUUACAGCCUAACUAUUUUGUUUUGUUGCUUUUCUUUCUUUUAUUUCAUAGUCCUAAUUUAGUAGUUUACAGCCUAACUAUUUUGUUUUUUUCUUUUGUUUUUUCUUAAUUCUUACAAAAUAUAAAAGAUCAUGUGGUUAAAGAAAGUGUUAAUUUAUAUAUCUAUACCAAAAAAUGUGGUGUUCGAAUUUUUCCAGAUUAAUGAAAGUAAACUUACAAUAAAUAUUCGACAUAGUGCAAUGGUGCAAAUAAAGUUAUUCGUUGUAAUUCUAAUCUGUUAAUUUUUGUGAAACAGAUAACUUAUGAGUUAAAAAAUUGUUCUACUAAUUGAUUUUUUUUUUAAUUUAUAAUAUAAUACGGCAAAAAAGAAAUUCAUACAAAACUAAAAAAAAAAAAAGAUGAUGGAAGUUUACAAAAAGAAAAAAGAUGUAAGAUUUCAAAGCCAAAUAAAUAAAACGUUUGCUAAAUAUCAAUUGUUACUUUGAUAAUGACCUCAGUAAUCAUUAGUAUACAUGUAUUUAUGCCAUGUUUUGGGUCUAUUAAAAAACUUGAUGGAUAGAUUACUUGACGGCUAUAUUUACGCUAAUUUUUUUAUCAUGUAUCAUUCUAGAAACUUUUGAUUAAAUUUUUAAAGCUUGACUAGAUUUUGCGUCCACGCUAUGCGAGGGUAUUUUGUUAAUAAAAAUUAUAUGCAAUCAAUUAUAUUUAUUAAGAUAUAAAUUUUAUAUAUUAGUGAUUUAAUAAUAUAUUAAAAAUAUUAUAAUGUUAAUAUAAUAAUUUUUAUGUAAAUUUUGAGGUUUUAACGGUUUUGUUUUAAAUCUAUAUACAAUAUGUCAUAUUUUAAAAAUGUAUUAUUUGGUCAAACAUUUAUAAGUUAAUAUACCCAAAUCAACUAAAUUUUUUUAUAAAUUAGUCAAAUGGUACUUACUAAACAUAAUAUUGACAUGAUGAUAAAAUAUUAUACGUUCACUUCUUUAAAUCAUGAAGAUAAUUUUUUUCAUGGUUCACUUUUCUUCCAAUUAUAUAUGUAUUUUUUAAAAACAAUAAUAAAUUUAAAAAUUAAUCUUUUUUUUUUCUCUUGUUUAACCGAUACAAAUUUUUUUAUUUUGUUAUAUUAAUUUAAAAAACAAACUAAUAAAUAAAAUAUUUGCUUUUAGAUUAAUAACAACUUUAAAUUUGAAACCAAAAUAUUAUUUGAAUAUAAAAUAAAGAAAAUCAUACAAAAUUUGUGAAUUAAAUAUAUUUUUAUCAAUUGGUUGUGUAAACGUUUAAAUAAUUUUUCAAUGAUUAUACGUCAUUGAUUCUAAUAAGAAUGAUUUUUUUUCAUCAUGUUUAUUUUUGUUAUAUCUGUUUUUUCAACUAAUAGAUCAUAUUUAUUUAUUUAAAUGAUUUUUAUAUGAUUAUAUUCAGUUUCAUCAUAUUCAAUCUUACUUCUUUUAAUUAUAUUUAAGUAGGCAGUCGGUACAAUUUAAUACAUAUAAAUUUAAAAAAAAUAAAAUAACAAAUUGAAAUCCUCAAAACUAAAAACUUCUACAUUAAUCUAUUGCAAUUCCAAACCGAAUAUACAAAAUAUAAAUUUUUCGAUCAUUUUUGCAUAAUAUAUUAAAUGAGAUUAUGUGGAAAUAUGUUUUGCAUAUGUGAAAAAAUUAAUAUAAAUUAUAAUUAUUAGUUAUUUAAAAUUCUAAAUGAAAAGUCUUAAAAUCAAGUAACAUAAACUUGUAUAAGUAAUAUAUAGUUUUAUAGAUAAUAAAUUAAAUUUAUAAUUUAAACAGUAAUAAUGAAGAUUUUAAUAUCAUGGUUUUUUAUUAUUAGAGAUUUUUUAUUCUUUAAUUUACUUUCUCAAUAGAAUUAGGAAAUUUUUUUAAAUUUACAAUUUUGAUAUAUACGAAUAAAUUUUAAUUUUUAAAUGCUGAUGUGGAUGCCUUGAAAAUAACAUAACUUUAAUUUUUAUUCAUAAUAGAAUAGUUUUAAUUAAUAAUUUUUCUAUAUUGUUUAGUAUUAACAAUGUAAUUUUAUAAUUUAGAUUUCUUUUUUUAAUGUUAGUUAUUGAUGUACACUAAUAAAAUUGACCUUUUAAAUCUUAUGUGGAUGUCUUUAGAGGCAUAUAGCUUAUAUAUUUAUUUUUCUAUAAACAUAUUUUUUGUUAACCAUAUAAUUUUAAAUUUUGAAAAUUUUUUCUAAUUUUAAAUAUUGAUGUAAACCAAUCAAAUUGAACAUUUACAUCAUAUGUGGACAUUCUUAGAGGCAUAUAGCUUUUAAUUUUUUUUUAAUAAUAGAUUUAGAAAUCAAAGUUGGAAGAUCCCACACGAGGCAAGUGAUUAUGGUCUCUCCUUGUUUUUUGGCUUACCGAAUGUAUUCGCAUGCUGCUUGGUCAACUAAUUGUUACUUUUUUGGUUAAUGUUAGGUUGUUAAAACCCCAUCAGAUGUUAUGUUAUUUCAAAAAUCUUCGGCUUAAUGACAGAACUUCUUUCUCUAUUUUCAGUGCUUCGUUUUUCAAAAGUGUCAUGAUUUUGGUCUCGCCUCCUUGUUUUUGAGGCUUACCUAAUAUAUUUGGAUGCUUCUUGGUCAGCUAAUUGUUACUUUUGUGCUUAAUGUUAGGUUGUUGAAAUCGUAUCAGAUGCCAUGUUAUUUCAAAAAUCUUCCUCAAAUAACUUAAUCUCCUUCGUCUUAAUGACGAAACAUCUUUCUCUAUUUUUAGUGCUUUGUUUUUUAAAAGUGUCGAGUAUCAAUCACUUGACAUGUUUCUCGGAUUGCUUGAAAUUUAUCAUUCUUCUCAAAUUUGGUGGCCAAACUUAUUUUUCGGUCUCUUUUUCGAUAUUAAAGCAGUUUGUAAAGACUUUGUUUAUAUCUCGUUUCAUUAUAUUCUUUAUAAUUUAGCUAAUAGCUAAACUUAUAGUUUAGCCAAGUUGGUUAUUUUACGUUGUAAUGACUCAUUUUUUUGUGAAACCUAACUCUAUUUUUUUUUUUUAAUUUGAAAUGGUUGUACACACAAAAAAAAAACUUAAAAAAUUAUUAUAGUUAUGUGACAAAAAUUUGGAUACUAAUGUAAGAAUCUCUAAAUAUGUGUGUAUACAUCUAAUUUAAAUUUAAAAUUUUCUAUUUUAAUAUUAUUUAUUUUAGUUUUUUAUUAUUAACAAAAAAUUUAUAUAUAAUUACUUUAUCUUUAAUAAUUUUUAAAAAUAAUAAUGGAAUUUGAAAAAAAAAAGUAAUUUUCAAUGUUGAGAUGGACCAAUAAAAAAUUUAUAUAGAAUUUUUUUAAUCAACAAUAAUCAGAAUUUGUAAACUUUCUUAAUUUAUUUAUUUAGCAACAAUAUUAAAAAUUUGUAAACUUUUCUUAUUUUUGAUUGUUGAUGUGGACCAAUAGAAUUGCCAUUUUUAAUCAUAUGCAUUUAACUUCAACUUUUAUUAGUAUAAGAUAAGAUAUGCAAUUACGUUCUAUAAAAAAUAAGUUUAUUGGCCAAAUUAAUAAAAUUGAAUGAAAAUUUUUAAUAUUUUUAAGGUUUCAUCCAUAUUCUAACAUCUUUUCGCAUUUUGAUUCAAAUAUAGAGAUAUUUUCGAAGUACCAAUCUUGUCUCAGGAUCUUAUCGUAUUAUCUAUCUGGAUUUUUAAUUACUGAAAAUAGUUAUAUUGUCUCAGGAUCUUAUCGUAUUAUCUGGAUUUUUAAUUACUGAAAAUAGUUAUAUCGCCGCCAAGAUGGAACUAGUCAUUGUUUAACGCACCUGUCCUCAACUAUUCUCAUAAUAUCUUCUUUCUUUUUUGUCGGAACUAUUCUCAUAAUAUCUAAGAGAAACAAUUGAAAAUAUUAUAUAAGAUAUCCACAUAGAAUGAAAUUUUACAUAUUUUAAUUAAAUCUUCAGAGUUAAGACCAGAAGUCAGAAGCUUCCAAACAGAUGACAAGAAAUGGUAAUUUCACUGUCUCAACUCAUUUCUAUGAUAUUAUCUGAUAAACACUGAGAAUUCCAAUUUUUCUUUAACUAACAGAAGAAUCAGAACAAGUUCAGAAUCCAGAACCAGACCAGAGCUUGAGCCAAAGAAGAUUGUUGAUGCUAAAUCAAAGAAAAUGGUGGAUCUCUGUUUCUUUAUGUCUUUUCUUAGUCUUGCUCGGAGAUUCUCUCGUCAUGCUUCUCUUGAACUUCUUCUAUGUCCAAGACAAUCGAGAAGAUUAUGACCAAGAUCUACAGUACAAAGGAACAUGGACUCAAGCUCUGAUCCAAAACGCUGCGUUUCCAAUCCUUAUCCCUCUCUUCUUUAUAUUUCCUUCACCAAAACCAAACCCUGAAACCAACAAUACUCGUUUCCUCUCUUUUCGUCUUCUCAUGCUUUACUUCGCUCUUGGUGUUCUUGUUGCUGCUCAUAGCAAAUUAUUCGCGCUUGGGAAGUUAUACGCAAACUAUGCCAUAUUCACGUUGAUUUCCGCCUCCCAGUUGAUAUUUACCGUGAUUUUCACUGCCAUUAUAAACCGAUUCAAGUUUAACCGAUGGAUUAUCAUAUCUAUAAUCCUCACUCUUGUUGUAUACCUUUUCGGUAAUCCUGAAUUUGGAGGAGAGCCUGUUGAAGCCGAAGUAUCCUAUAGCAAGCAAGCUUGGUUAACCUUUGCUGCUGUAGUUGCUUUCGCAUUAUAUCUCUGUUUAUUCCAACUAGGUUUCGAGAAACUUUUGGUGAAGACAAAGAGAUAUGGUAACAAGAAAGUGUUUAGAAUGGUCUUAGAGAUGCAAAUAUGUGUAUCUUUUGUGGCCUCGGUAGUUUGCCUUAUUGGUUUGUUUGCGAGUGGUGAGUUUAAGGAGUUGAAAGGUGAUAGCGAGAGGUUUAAGAAGGGGAACAUAUUACGUUUUGAGUUUGGUCGGGUUGGCUUUGUCGUGGCAGGUUUGGGCGGUCGGGCUAGUAGGUUUGGUGCUUUAUGUUUCGGGUGUGUUUGGUGAUGUUGUACAUAUGUGUGCUUCACCACUUGUGGCUUUGGUUGUUGUGUUGGCAUUUGAUUUUGUGGAUGAUGAGUUUAGUUGGUCUAGAAUAGGUGCUUUGAUAGGAACCGUUUUGGCUUUAGGAUCUUACUUCUGCUCACUGUACAAGAAUAGCAAGAAAUAUCAAAGAGAA
rnacentral:lncRNA from 1 species